rnacentral:lncRNA from 1 species
CUGGGAUAAAAAAAGGCGCUGAAAAUAUGCCCAAAAAGGAGAUGGCGAUUGGAUUUGGGAGUCUCUUCUCCAAGUAAAAAAUUUACAGCUGUUUGAGGAAAAAAUAAAGGGCUGCAUGGGGUUUGGAAUCACAUAUAUAUACAUGCAAAAGGUGGCCGGCCCGGCUGUUGAAUUGAUAUAUACGCACAUUAGGCGGCAGAAGCGGCUGGAGAAAAAGAAAUUCAGCAACUGGUGGGGAAGUAUUGGAGAAGAAAGAGGCAGCCAAGUGUUCUUUUCAAAAAACGCAUAGAGAGGCGGCUGAAUUUGGGGGUUUCCAUAUUAUAUAUUGAUAAUUUCCCACGCAACAAUAAAGGAGAAGAGAAAACGAGCUGCCUGCUGAAAUUUUAUUCGUACCAGAACCGGAGCCAACCUGGUGGAAUUAGACACACAUUGGGUGGCUACAGAAGGAAAAAAGGCAGAUUCAAUUUGUCAACUUCAAUCACGUUCCAUCAAAGUUUGGUGAUGUCUUUUAACUUUCGCGUUUCUAAUUUCGACAAUAUGCUCAGCUAAACCUUUUUAGUAUUGCUAGG